GAAGCAGACCAGACCGUCGCUGGUGCAACCGCCGAAAGGCCGCACUGGAGGAAGGUCCGGACUGCACAGAGCAGCGUAGCGGGUAACGCCCGUCCACCGCGAGGUGCGGAUCAGAGCCACAGAGACGAGCCGGUUAAGUCCGGAGUGAAACGCGGCAAUCUCUACGCGCAGCAACACCAAAUAGGCCAGCAUUGAGGCGGCUCGCUGAGCUGGCGGGUAGGUGGCAUCGAGCCAGGGUGGCAACAUCCCGGCCCAGAGGAAUGGCGGUCACGGUGGGCCCUCGCAAGAGGUGUCCAUUGCACAGAAUCCGGCCUAUCGGUCUGCUUCACAC
rnacentral:RNase_P_RNA from 1 species